AUCUUCGGCAAUGGGCGCAAGCCUGACCGAGCGACGCCGCGUGUGCGAUGAAGGCCCUUCGGGUUGUAAAGCACUGUCGAGAGGAAGCAAGCCGCAAGGUUGAGCGACCUCUGGAGGAAGCACGGGCUAAGUUCGUGCCAGCAGCCGCGGUAAGACGAACCGUGCGAACGUUGUUCGGAAUCACUGGGCUUAAAGGGCGCGUAGGCGGGAUGGCAAGUCGGAGGUGAAAGCCCCCAGCUUAACUGGGGAAGUGCCCUCGAUACUGCCGUUCUCGAGAGAGGUAGGGGCGUGUGGAACUUCCGGUGGAGCGGUGAAAUGCGUAGAUAUCGGAAGGAACGCCGGUGGCGAAAGCGAUGCGCUGGACCUUUUCUGACGCUGAGGCGCGAAAGCCAGGGUAGCGAACAGGAUUAGAUACCCCGGUAGUCCUGGCCCUAAACGAUGGGUACUGGGUUGCGGGUCAGACAUGGACUCGCAGCCGAAGCAAAAGUGGUAAGUACCCCGCCUGGGGAGUAUGGUCGCAAGGCUGAAACUCAAAGGAA
rnacentral:rRNA from 1 species